rnacentral:lncRNA from 1 species
GGAAGCCAAGGGGCCCAAAUCCCGCCGGCUUCCGUCCCCCGCCGGCGCCGCCCUAGAGGCGGGCUGAGGUAGCGACUCAUCGCGGUGGCCGUGGUUUGGCGGGUCCGCCUGCCCGUCCCCUGUGUACUUUGAUGGACCCGAGGAGGGCAGGAGGACUCCCAGAACUCUUUGUCGGGAAGAGGAGGAGUGAUGGCAGCGACCGAACGGGCAGUGGGCCUGUCUGGUGCAGACUGGGAGGGGCGGAGGCUGGCUGAGGGGCUGUGUCCUGAGAGGACCAGCCCCCGCCGUGCGUGCCCCCAGGCGUGACCCGAGAAGGGCUUGGGAGGCAACUGGAAAGAGGAUGAACAUUUUCAGAUUAGAGUGGUGUGCGUGAAAUUCAAAACACUCCCUUGAUCCAAGCCAAGUCCACCCUCCCCACCGAGCCCACCCCUCAAGAAAGCCAAACUGUAAUGUAGGAAGUUCUCCAAUCUUAUAAGACCUUGUGGAAUAAUCAGCACAAAAAGUCCUGAAUCACGAUAAGUUCUACGUGUGCCCAUCACCCUCGGAAUGGAUAAGAGUCGAUACUCCAAAUGUCCUGGCCGCAGAAGGCACAUUCGCACAAUGGCACAUUUGAAACCUCGGUGUGACCCUGCCGCUGAUGCCUCCUUCCGCCUUCCUCAAGUCCUCAGAAGCAUCACCCCCCUCUGACAAUCCCGGUGGCCCACACCCACCCUGUUCUCCUGGGUCCCCUUGGGGACUUUCUGUGUGUAUCCCAAGGGCCCAAAGAGUGCACGUAUGCAUCCUAGGUAUACCCACCAAUAAUUAAAGUGUUAGAAGUAGUGGAAUGGAUCGGUGACAUGCAACAGUUUCCAGAACUUGGCGGUCGUUGGAAACCAAACCAAGCCAUCCCCGGAAACCCAACGGUGUUUCCUCUUAGAAGUACCUUAUGUUCAAUGUGUUUUCUAGAAGUUCUGAGAAGCCUAUGAAAAUGAGCUUUAUCUCAUCACUCCUAUUUUGCAUCAGCUUAUGUGGUGUAGACACUGCCCUUAUGGGAGGAAUUGGAAAUGCAAAAGUCAUUCUCAUGCCUCAUCCUGGCCUUCAUUUCAUGAGAUUAGAUUUCCCAGUAUUUCCCGGUGUCAUUGUUUCAAAAAGCAUCUCAUUUUUUUUCUAACUCUCUUGCUUACUCAUGAAGUUGAUUAUGUUUCCACAUAUUACAGCUGUUUUUGAUGUAUUUUCUGUGUAAUACCUGUUUUGCUUUUGCCCAUGUUUUUUGCCAAUGAGUUUUAAAACUUCUUUAUUACCCAUGUGUGUGGAAAUGGCCCUUUUCCAUUCUGUUGUGUUUUUAUUCAUAUUCCUUAUUGUAUCUUUUUUUCCUUAGUGUAUCUUUUGAUAAAGAACCACUCUUAAUGUUAAAAUAACUUCAAAUUUAUCACUUUUGGUCUUUAUUGCUUUGUUUUUAUGCUCAUUUCUUUACACUCCUUAUUGCAAGAUCAUUUCUAUACCAUCUCGAUAUUUAAAUUUUUAUCUCUCAAAAUUUAAACCUUUUUAUUCAGAUAUAAUAGGUUACUUUGCAUUCAUGAGACAGAUCAGCCCUCUUUUCCCCCAUGUGCACAAAUGUUUUGACAUUUUGAAUUGAAGACUUCUUGUUUUUCGAUGUUAUUGCAUCAUUUCCCAUGUUGUGUAGGUUUUUUUUGGUAUGGAUUUCCUUAAUCUUUACUUUCCGUUGUAUUCACUUAAUUGUGUAGUUAGGAGAAUUUCAUUCAAUUCAGAUCUUAAAUAUUAAUAAAUAUAUAUUUGUUAUGCCAAAUUAAUGCAGAAUACUAAUUUAAUUAAUAUAUUUCAUUAGUUUUUGUUACAAAUAUUAUUCUAUGCUAAAUUAAAUUUUUUUCCCCCAUUAA